UACGAAGGGGGCUAGCGUUGUUCGGAAUCACUGGGCGUAAAGGGCGCGUAGGCGGCCGAUCAAGUCGGGGGUGAAAGCCUGUGGCUCAACCACAGAAUUGCCUUCGAUAUUGGUUGGCUUGAGACCGGAAGAGGUAAGUGGAACUGCGAGUGUAGAGGUGAAAUUCGUAGAUAUUCGCAAGAACACCAGUGGCGAAGGCGGCUUACUGGUCCGGUUCUGACGCUGAGGCGCGAAAGCGUGGGGAGCAAACAGG
rnacentral:rRNA from 1 species